UUCCGUAGGUGAACCUGCGGAAGGAUCAUUUCUGAAGGCUUUUUGCCAAACCGCUGUGAACUGUCAGCUCCGGCUGACAACUGCUUGGGUGACUGCUUCGGCAGCGCCCAACAUUUAAAACUUCUACUUUUAAUUCUGAAACCAAGAAAUUUAAAAACUUUCAACAACGGAUCUCUUGGUUCUCGCAUCGAUGAAGAACGCAGCAAAGCGCGAUAGGUAAUGCGAAUUGCAGACGUGAGUCAUUGAAUCUUUGAACGCACAUUGCGCUACUAGGUUCUCCUAGUAGCAUGCUUGUUGGAGCGCCGAUCUUCCUCCCAACCUAUCUAGGUAUGGGGUACUGCUCCUUGUAGGAGUGAAAAACAUGGAAGUGCACACGUUAGUUAACUCUGUGCAGUUAAUCAAACUUUUGGCCCCCAAUCAAGCAAGGUUACCCGCUGAACUUAAGCAUAUCAAUAAGCGGAGGAA
rnacentral:rRNA from 1 species